rnacentral:rRNA from 1 species
AGUGAACGCUGGCGGCAGGCCUAAUACAUGCAAGUCGAACGGCAGCACAGUGGAGCUUGCUCCAUGGGUGGCGAGUGGCGGACGGGUGAGGAAUACAUGGGAAUCUGCCCAGUCGUGGGGGAUAACGUAUGGAAACGUACGCUAAUACCGCAUGCGCCCUUCGGGGGAAAGUCGGGGACCGCAAGGCCUGACGCGAUUGGAUGAGCCCAUGUUCGAUUAGCUAGUUGGCGGGGUAACGGCCCACCAAGGCGACGAUCGAUAGCUGGUCUGAGAGGAUGAUCAGCCACACUGGAACUGAGACACGGUCCAGACUCCUACGGGAGGCAGCAGUAGGGAAUAUUGGACAAUGGGCGCAAGCCUGAUCCAGCCAUGCCGCGUGAGUGAAGAAGGCCCUCGGGUUGUAAAGCUCUUUUGGCCGGGAAGAAUCGCACAGGUUAAUACCCUGUGUGGAUGACGGUACCGGAAUAAGAAG